GGAAAGGAGGGACAAAAAGGAUUGGACUAGAACAAGAGGGCAUUAACGGCUGACUUAUUGUCCUUUCGGAAAUCUCUCAGGACAUGGUUUUUCCAGCAGGCCUGGGGAACCCUUGGAAACAGGCAGCCCGUGAGAUGGCUUUAUGUGGAUGUGUGUCAAUUACCCUGUUCUUCUUCAAACCAAGAUUUCUUAUUACUGCUGUUUGAUAUAUUUAUAGAGCUUGUAUUUAUAAUGAAGAAAUGCUUUUAAAAAUGUUUUAGAUUCAUGGAAAUAAUGAUGCACAUCAUGUAAAGUGUUCUUCAUGUUUCCCAAAGGUGGGAACCCCGUGGAUAUAGUGGAUGGAAAAAUGACAUUUCCCAUGACUCAGGGCUAAUCUGCUAGCUGUUAGGUUGACCCUGGAAGCAUGGGAAACACUUAAAAAAUCUAUCAAGUGUUGCCACCUUUUGGAAAAGAAAGGAAAAGAGAAAAGGAAACUAAACAAAGGAAGCAAAUAUAAAUAAUAUAUAUCAGCUUAGCUACAUUUUUGGGGUAGGUUUGCUAAAGUUUGUAAUAUAGUUUGGGAUAAAAAUAGAGGGAAAUGAAAUAUUUUCUGAGGUUAAACAGGUCAUAGAUCUUUCUGCUUAAAAAAAAACUGGUUCUACUAAGAUGAUAGAAUUCAAAUAUUUGAGAAGCAUGUAAGGGAAUCCAUAUGCUUUUCUCAAAGACAAAGACCUAUUUAACAGCUGUUGUGCUAUGGGGCUUGAAUCUAUAUUGUCUCCAUAAGCUCAAGAAAGUGUACACAGAUCCAUUUUUAUCCUCUGACAACAACUCACUUCAAGAAGUGAGGCCAAUACAUAUAUUUGCCCAUCCUGGAUAGCAACAACAGUCAGAAGCGGAUCUGCUGAGUGGAUGGCUGAAAUGAUAAAUGUCUUGCUACAAGAAGAGGUAGAUUGUGCAUGUUUGCAAGAAUCUAUGAUAAAAUCAUUAAAUAACAUUCUCCCAGAGAAUUCCUGACCAGUAUCUAAUAUUCCAUUCUUAAGAUUCUUGUUCAUGGAAUAAUUUUUCAACUUCAGAUUGAAUGAAAUGGACUCCUCUUUUUUAAAAGAUAAGCUCAUCAUUUGGGAAUUCUUCUGUACAUAACCUAGAAGCCCAGAUGUUGACAGUGCCCAGGAGGCCAGUAGCCAGGAUGGGGUGCCAACUCAGCCCAUUCCUAAAACAUGCAGAUCUAGCCAAUGUGACAUUUAUAUAUUUAUUAUAUGAUAUCACUACUGGAUUCUUACAGUGCACUUCACUUAGCGCUGCCUUUAAAGACUAUUUGGAAACAACAACUGCCUAAAAAUACUGUAUAAGCAUCCAUAUGUUUACAGGGACAGGUCAUCAUGGAGAAAAUCUAUUUAUGUGGCUGCUAAGAAUUGAUGUCAACUUGAUCACACAUAAUCAAUCAAUCAAUCAAUCAAUCAAUCAAUCAAUCAAUCAAUAUGUUAACAGGGCUGACUACGGAAAGCAGUCUCUCUUACUGAAACAGUUAUCUUAGCUUCCAUGGACAACUCUAACCACUGGUUAUGACCUUUACAGCCCUGAAUGAUUUAGGACCAUGAUAUUUAAAUGACUGGCUUAUCUCAUAUGAUCAUCUUCAGAAGCUCUCUUGUUACACUCAGCAAUCUUUCAUUUUGAAGAGGAUCACUUUGAUGGCUUUGGAAUGUCCUACCCAGAGAGGACCAUCUCACUUUUCAGAAGCGGACAAUCCAGCUUUAUGGGAAGCCCUUUGUUGUCUAUUCCUGCCUGCUAAUUUAUCAAAUUCAAUUUUAAAUAUUUAAAGUACUUUUAAUUGUUAUUGUUGUGUUCUGGGGUUUUUUGGCUGCUGCUUUGUGUUUUCUCUGUUUAUGCUCUAAAGUAAUUUUAAAAGAUCUUUAUUUUUUAAAGAGCUUCCUAGAACUGUGGAGGCUUUGUGGGGUAUACAGUAAAAAUAAACAAAUUAAUAAACAAAUGA